rnacentral:rRNA from 1 species
GACGAACGCUGGCGGCGUGCUUAACACAUGCAAGUCGAACGCUGAAGCUCAGCUUUUGUUGGGUGGAUGAGUGGCGAACGGGUGAGUAACACGUGAGUAACCUGCCCCCUUCUUUGGGAUAACGCCCGGAAACGGGUGCUAAUACUGGAUAUUCACUGGUCUUCGCAUGGGGGUUGGUGGAAAGGGUUUUUCUGGUGGGGGAUGGGCUCGCGGCCUAUCAGCUUGUUGGUGGGGUGAUGGCCUACCAAGGCUUUGACGGGUAGCCGGCCUGAGAGGGUGACCGGUCACAUUGGGACUGAGAUACGGCCCAGACUCCUACGGGAGGCAGCAGUGGGGAAUAUUGCGCAAUGGGCGCAAGCCUGAUGCAGCGACGCGGCGUGAGGGAUGGAGGCCUUCGGGUUGUGAACCUCUUUCGCUCAUGGUCAAGCCGCAACAAUGGUUGUGGUGAGGGUAGUGGGUAAAGAAGCGCCGGCUAACUACGUG